rnacentral:rRNA from 1 species
AUUGAACGCUGGCGGCAGGCUUAACACAUGCAAGUCGAGCGGAGCGGCGGACGGGUGAGUGAUGCCUAGGAAUCUGCACGGCCGCGGGGGCUAGCGUCCGGUAACGGGCCCUAAUACCGCAUCCUAUCUGUUGAGCCUAGGUCGGAGUAGCUAGAUGGUGGGGUAAAGGCCUACCAGGGCGACGUACCGUAACUGGUCUGAGAGGAUGACCAGUCACACUGGAACGGAGACACGGACCAGACUCCUACGGGAGGCAGCAGUGGGGAAAAUUUGACAAUGGGCGAAAGCCUGAUGCAGCCAGAGCGCGUGGUUGAUGAAGGUCUUCGGAUUGUAAAGCACUUUAAGUUGGGAAGCGUUACCAACAGAAUAAGCACCGGCUAACUACGUGCCAGCAGCCGCGGUAAUAC